GACGAACGCUGGCGGCAUGCUUAACACAUGCGAGUCGAACGGAAAGGCCCUGCUUUGGUGGGGUGCUCGAGUGGCGACCGGGUGAGUAACACGUGAGUACCCUGCCACUGACUUUGGGAUAACUUCAGGCAACUGGGGCUAAUACCGGCUAGGAGCUACUGCUUCAUGGUGGGGGUUGGAUAGUUUCGGUGGUUGGGGAUGGACUCGCGGCUUAUCAGCUUGUUUGUGUGGUAGUGGCUUACCAAGGCUUUGACGGGUAGCCGGCCUGAUAGGGUGACCGGCCACAUUGGGACUGAGAUACGGCCCAGACUCCUCCGGGAGGCAGCAGUGGGGUAUAGUGCAUAAUGGGCGGAAGCCUGAUGCAGCAACGCCGCGUGCGGGAUGACGGCCUUCGGGUUGUAUACCGCUUUCGCCUGUGACGAAGCGUGAGUGACGGUAAUGGGUAAAGAAGCACCGGCUAACUACGUG
rnacentral:rRNA from 1 species